AAGUCGUAACAAGGUCUCCGUUGGUGAACCAGCGGAGGGAUCAUUAGCGAGUUAAAACAAAACUCCAAACCCAUGUGAACAUACCUAUCGUUGCCUCGGCAGGUUGUGCUGUCCGGUGACUGCUACCCUGUAGGAGGAGCUACCCUGUAGCUACCCUGUAGUUGGUAGGAGCUACCCUGCAGCACGCCAAAGGCCUGCCGAAGGACCCCCAAACUCUGAAUCUACUGUAUCUCUGAGUAUAACACAAAAAUAAGUUAAAACUUUCAACAACGGAUCUCUUGGUUCUG
rnacentral:misc_RNA from 1 species